ensembl:lncRNA
GUAUAAAGUUAACUACCUGAUUGGUCUGUCCAGUAAUACAGGUAUAAAGUUAACUACCUGAUUGGUCUGUCCAGUAAUACAGGUAUAAAGUUAACUACCUGAUUGGGUCUGACAUUUUGUCUGUGAAUGUAAUUUGGAACAGACUGUGAACCACUUCCUACUUUGAUUGUACCUGUUUCCUGUCCUGCCUGUUCCUUGUAAUUCUACUUCCUGUUCAAGCUAACUCCACCUACAAUGAAGCAAAAAAUUUGAAACUUUCUAAAUGUGUUUUACUCUGAAGGGAAGUGUUGUCUUGGUGUGUGUACAUUUUAAAUAUGUAUUGGUAUUAUCAGAGGCCCGCUGGGCACAGACGUCAAUUCAACGUCUCUUCCACGUUGGUUCAACGUCAUUUAGUUGAAAUGACGUGUAAACAACGUUGAUUCAACCAAUGUGAAGCACUUUUAAGGAGUGUGAUCUGUUUCAUCAGAGAGCUUCCUCAAGUCUUCCUUUCUCCUCUCAGUGUGUUGUUUGUAAAUAUUCAUACUGUAAAUUCGUUUUAAUGGACGGUGGUGUUAUUUAGUUGACGGUACAGCUGUUUUCUGCAUGUUAAACGUGGACAUGUCCAGCAUGACUAUGCAUCGAUCUGUAGACAUCACAGUGCACUACUGUCUUUGUACAGAACAAGUAAUAGUGGGAUUGGAUGAAAUACAGUACAUAGAGAGUACAAUACAGUAUGUAGACAGUACAAUACAGUAUGUAGACAGUACAAUACAUAGACAGUACCAUACAGUACAAUACAGUACAUAGACAGUACAAUACAAUACAUAGACAGUACCAUACAGUACAUAGAGAGAACAAUACAGUAUGUAGACAGUACAAUACAGUACAAUACAGUACAUAGACAGUACAAUACAAUACAUAGACAGUACCAUACAGUACAUAGAGAGAACAAUACAGUAUGUAGACAGUACAAUACAGUACAAUACAAUACAUAGACAGUACCAUACAGUACAAUACAGUACAUAGACAGUACAAUACAAUACAUAGAGAGAACAAUACAAUACAUAGACAGUACAAUACAGUACAUAGACAGUACAAUACAAUACAUAGUACCAUACAGUACAAUACAGUACAUAGACAGUACAAUACAAUACAUAGACAGUACCAUACAGUACAAUACAGUACAUAGACAGUACAAUACAGUACAUAGACAGUACAAUACAGUACAUAGAGAGAACAAUACAGUAUGUAGACAGUACAAUACAGUACAAUACAGUACAUAGACAGUACAAUACAAUACAUAGACAGUACAUAGAGAUACAAUACAGUACAUAGACUUGCUUGCUCGGACUUCUCGCUUUCUACGAUUUUAAACACUAUCACAUACUUUUUUGAGUUGAAAUGCUUUUAUUUUUUAAAUAAUUACUUUAAUACAGAUUGCAACAAAAAAAAAAAAGAAGAAAAAAACCAUGUUGGUGUCUGGUUAUUACAUUUUUAUUUCUUCAGUCAAAUGUUUCCAAGAACAGAAACACAGUGGACUAGGUAGAUGAGGCCUUUGGGCUGGAUCAGGCUGCGUGAUUUCAUUCUUCUUUUCAGUGUUAAAACCAUCGUUUUUCUUUGUUAUGGUCCCUCAGAACAUUCAUGUGAGCAUUUUCCUACCGAUGGAAUAAAAUUCUGAAACUUUUUUACACGCCAA